rnacentral:rRNA from 1 species
CAGUCGCCACGGUAAUACAGAGGGUGCAAGCGUUAAUCGGAAUUACUGUGCGUAAAGCGCGCGUAGGUGGUUUGUUAAGUUGGAUGUGAAAGCCCCGGGCUCAACCUGGGAACUGCAUCCAAAACUGGCAAGCUAGAGUACGGUAGAGGGUGGUGGAAUUUCCUGUGUAGCGGUGAAAUGCGUAGAUAUAUGAAGGAACACCAGUGGCGAAGGCGACCACCUGGACUGAUACUGACACUGAGGUGCGAAAGCGUGGGGAGCAAACAGGAUUAGAUACCCGUGUAGUCCCUGUCUCUUAUAC